UGAGGUAGUGUACUGACUGGGUGAGGUAGUGUACUUACUGACUGGGUGAGGUAGUGUACUUACUGACUGGGUGAGGUAGUGUACUUACUGACUGGGUGAGGUAGUGUACUUACUGACUGGGUGAGGUAGUGUACUUACUGACUGGGUGAGGUAGUGUACUUACUGACUGGGUGAGGUAGUGUACUUACUGACUGGGUGAGGUACAAACACAGCUCCUGGCCUUUGGAAU